GUGUGUGUGUGUGUGUGUGUAUAUCUUAAAAAGAUUCAUGGAUCAACGCAAUUUAGUCAGUUACGCAAGUUAAACUAAUUGCAGACAUAAGAGGGCCUUCAAACGAGGUUCAAAACCUUGGGACAAUUGUUACAAUUCUGUGAGAAAUGCCAUACAUUUAUCAAUCAUAUGACUAUAGCAUAAUUAUCCAUUUUCACUUUUGAAUUAUAUUGGACUGGGUGCCCUUAUUUUUUUUAUUCACUCCUCUACGAUUUAAUUAUUGCAUUAUAUAUUUCUUACUCUAAUCAGUGGCGAAACCACACCCAUUGUGCGGUAGGCAAUUGAUCACCUUAGAUUAGAUUAUGGAAUGAACAUAGAGGUCCACUUAUAUAGUUACAGUUUUGUCCUCCUUAAUGAUUAACCAAUGCCCACCAUAUUGUAACUUAAAACCAAUGCCCAGCUUCAACAAAAAUCCUAGCUUCGCCACCGACUCUAAUGGGACAAUUAACCAUAUGAAAUUCUGUCUUGGGAUGCGGUAUUGAUAGAAUCACCAUGCAUGUUAAUUUCUUUUCCAGUUGAGCAGCAAACUUUCAGCAUUGCAGAAAUUAGUGGAUGUAGUUUUGCAUGAUUUUCAUUAUAAACAGUUUUCCUGAACCAUAAUUGUUUGUGGCAUUGUGCCAACUCAUGCCUACCAAAUAUGUAAUACUUUCUGAUUCAAAAUAAUCUUUCCAUUGUAAAGGUGCAGUUGGACUUGAGGAAAUUCAAGGUAAACGGAAUUUGGUGAGAGAAUACUUUAGGAAAAUGUCAUUUUUCAAAUCAUGAUCAAUGUUGAUUAACUGGAUGCUUUGUGGAAUUGGCUUCUCAAACUGAAUGUAUCAAUCCAUUCUCAGGGGGUGAGGUAUGUGGACACCAAAACGUACUUUAUCUUUGGUUUGUGCAAAAACUUAUAGUUGCUUCUGAUACAUUAGUGGUUGAAAGUUUUAUGAACCAUUUUUGUAGUAAGCAGAGCAAAAAGUUUUAUGUGAUUGUCCUUGUUUUUUUCAGGUGUGAUAUUGGAAGCAUCAACGACAGUGUGACAACAUUAAGAAGCUAGGUUAUAGUUUCUGCACUGCUGGCCUAAGUCAAGAAUGCCAAGUACUAGGCCUUCUAGUCCUUGGAAUUCAGAAGAGUUACCUGUUGUUUUAAUUUGACUCCGUUUCAACCUGAAAUAUUUGUAUAAAUUUAGAAUAUUUCAAUUUUCCUUGAAAUUACUUCACUUUUUAAAUGGUAAGUGCAUUAUUGUAUGUUCCUUGCCAGAGAUCAAAUCAGUUUAACAUUUGGUAUUAUAAGUGGCUAUGUACAAGUUCCAUAAUGUUAAUGGAAAAGGCAUAAAGUAGAAAAAUAAUUGCAAAU
rnacentral:misc_RNA from 1 species